AGCCAGACUCCUACGGGAGGCAGCAGUGGGGAAUAUUGCACAAUGGGGGGAACCCUGAUGCAGCGACGCCGCGUGGGUGAAGGAGUACUUCGGUACGUAAAGCCCUAUCAGCAGGAAAGAAAAUGACGGUACCUGAGUAAGAAGCCCCGGCUAACUACGUGCCAGCAGCCGCGGUAAUACGUAGGGGGCAAGCGUUAUCCGGAUUUACUGGGUGUAAAGGGAGCGUAGACGGUAUGGCAAGUCUGAAGUGAAAGCCCCGGGCUCAACCUGGGAACUGCUUUGGAAACUGUUAAACUAGAGUGCUGGAGAGGCAGGCGGAAUUCCUAGUGUAGCGGUGAAAUGCGUAGAUAUUAGGAGGAACACCAGUGGCGAAGGCGGCCUGCUGGACAGUAACUGACGUUGAGGCUCGAAAGCGUGGGGAGCAAACAGGAUUAGAUACCCGGGUA
rnacentral:rRNA from 1 species